ACUGCUUAUUCUAAGAGGACGCAAAAAACCUUGGAGCGCAGCCAACAUGCCUGGAACAAAAGGUAACAAGGCGGACAAGAAAUCCUCCACCAAGCAACCUCAGAGUCCUAAGGAGCAGCCGAAGAAAGGUGAUCAGAAAGGAGAUGACAGUAAAAAGCAAGGAGGACAGCCGAAGGGAGAGAAGCAGUAAUUUCCAGGCCUUCGUAAAGCUGGCUCUGGAGACUCUCCUGGGCUCCUGUCGACGCAAGCAUGGGGGUCCCAGCGGCAGGCAGGGCUGAAGAUUCAACAGCCUCCAUGAUUCGCCCAUCACUAGACAGAGUUUGAGUCCGAAGUCUGUCCCUUCUGUCCCUCCACAGGGCCUCAGGCGUGAAAAACGCUGCUGAUUGGCUCAUUGGAUGGCGAGACUCUGUGACCCCGCCCUCAUCUGCCCACAUUUGACUCCGCCCGUCUCAUAGUUCGCAACUGUUGCUGUACAUAAAUGAGUUACAAAUAAACAUGAUUUCAUACACUUGCUUUAAA